AUUGAACGCUGGCGGCAGGCCUAACACAUGCAAGUCGAGCGGAUGAAGGGAGCUUGCUCCUGGAUUCAGCGGCGGACGGGUGAGUAAUGCCUAGGAAUCUGCCUGGUAGUGGGGGAUAACGUCCGGAAACGGGCGCUAAUACCGCAUACGUCCUGAGGGAGAAAGUGGGGGAUCUUCGGACCUCACGCUAUCAGAUGAGCCUAGGUCGGAUUAGCUAGUUGGUGGGGUAAAGGCCUACCAAGGCGACGAUCCGUAACUGGUCUGAGAGGAUGAUCAGUCACACUGGAACUGAGACACGGUCCAGACUACUACGGGAGGCAGCAGUGGGGAAUAUUGGACAAUGGGCGAAAGCCUGAUCCAGCCAUGCCGCGUGUGGGAAGAAGGUCUUCGGAUUGUAAAGCACUUUAAGUUGGGAGGAAGGGCAGUAAGUUAAUACCUUGCUGUUUUGACGUUACCAACAGAAUAAGCACCGGCUAACUUCGUG
rnacentral:rRNA from 1 species